AAGACUGUACUUUCAAGGAUCAUUUCUGUAGUUUGUUUCUAAUGGAAUGCGUUUCUAAAGUGUUUGGUCUUGCUAACCGUGAUGAGGAGUUACAGUGUUUUUUUUCUGAGCGUGAAGCGGGUCUGUUUCAAAGUUGCUGCUCUUGAUCAUUAAUGACCGUUCCGCUCUAUUUCGAGGAUGGAGGAAGAACACAAUCCGAGUGGU